rnacentral:sRNA from 1 species
CUGUCGGUUCACUGCUCCGGGUCUAGCUUGUUGCGCUAGACGAGGCCGGUGCUGGCUGCACAGGCUGCUACUGCUUCUCUGUUGGGGCACCGGUGCAGGCUGCACAGGUGUACUCGCAAUGCGGCGAGUGUAGAGGUCCCUCGCAGUCGUUCGGGCAGGUCUUCCUUGGCUUUGCUAUUUCCGUCGUUUGGGGUGGUGGAGUUACGGUUAAUAUUUUACUGAUAUUUCGUAUUGCAGUGUAGGUGGUUGUGUGCAUUGGCUCUUUCAUUUUCUUUUCUGCUAGCAACAAUUUGAUGUGAUCGAGCUCUGUGUGUAAUUUCACAGAUGUGCUCCACGGCAAAUUAUCGUUGCUAUUUAGCAGUUUGAGUAGUGUUGCCCUUCUGGCUCUCAGGCGUUUUACUACGCCGCCUCUUUUGCCACACAUACCACUCUACUUACUGCGUUCAGUUCCGCUCCAUUUCGUUGUUAAUUUUUUUUGAUGUUACUGCUGCUUCCAGUGGUGCCUGCUGUGGUGCUGCUGUUGUUGUCCGCUCUCGCCGCUCUCUCUCUCGCUCUCCGCUUUUUUUUUUUUAUGUGAUUUAUUUUAACAUAUUUUUGUUUCCGAACAUCUACAUGUUCGUGACACUUGUCACGGUCGCCAUGUAAUAUGUCAC